AGCCAAAUUCAUAUGGAACCAAGAGUUUAAUGACUUAUUUCUCAUACCUCUGUCUCCUCUGCCAAAUGAUGGACUCAUAGUAAGCAGGACCCAUACCAUCUUGGUAUUCUUAGACCCUAAAAUUGAAUUUAAUGAAGAGACUGAAGGAAGACAAUAUAUGUUUGGAACGUGGAAUUGAAUGUUGGCAUUUUUGGUGGCCCAGUGAGACCCAAGAGAAAUGACCAGCAUACUGUGAGCG
rnacentral:lncRNA from 1 species